rnacentral:lncRNA from 1 species
CCUGGCUUUGUGCAUAUCCACCAAACGCAAGUGCUUUAUGUUCCUCAUUGGAUUUGUAUGUGUCCUUUUUCAGACAUCUCGUCCUCUGCCUAGUCCAGGAAGUGGUGAGGCUCGCUUGGAUUCAGCACGGGGCGUUUCCACUCUACUGGCUGGCCAUUAACUCAGUACGUAAUUCAUUCUGCCCACUUCCUCCACUAUACAUGUUCUUGUCUUGUGCUAGUAGCUCUCUCUGGUUCACAUCCUACUGCUAGAAAUCAGUAGUAGAUUUGUCAAGGACAGAAAUCCAGUAGCAGUGGUGAGGCUACACACAUCUUUGUGGUGUCAACUGACAUCGCAGAUUUUUGCAAAAUAGCCUUAGCUUGGUACAUGUAGGUAAAAAAACACUUUUCUGAAUAAAUACAGCAGAUUGACAUCACAAGCUUCCAACUUUAGCACUGAUACAGUCAGUACUAAUUAACCUGGGAAGUAAAAUCAAGCGACCGAGUGCAACUAAAACUUGAGUGUUUUAUGUACUAUUUUGUGCAUGUAUGUUGAGUGCAACUAAAACAUGCUACUUUGUUUGGUUGUAUUUAUGGAGUAUGGCUGGAACUUGCUUACUAAAUUGCAGGCUUGUGCUUAACUUGAACUAACAUUUGAAUUUGUGCAGGAGAUGGUUGUGCUGCGUCACAGACGUACUAGCUGUGGUGGUAGCCGUGCUAACCGGAAUGCUCUUGUUGGUUCAGGCAACCCCAACAAUGAUAGCUCACAAAGGUCCCGAUCUGAUGGUGUUAACUCCACUGGUCCUUUAUCUCAAAAUAGUGAUAUGAACACA